rnacentral:rRNA from 1 species
UGGGGAAUAUUGCGCAAUGGGGGAAACCCUGACGCAGCGACGCCGCGUGGGUGAUGAAGGCCUUCGGGUCGUAAAGCCCUGUCGUGAGGGAAGAAACGGUGGGUCGAUAAUACUGGCUCGCCCUGACGGUACCUCACAAGAAAGCACCGGCUAACUCCGUGCCAGCAGCCGCGGUAAUACGGAGGGUGCAAGCGUUGUUCGGAAUUACUGGGCGUAAAGAGCGUGUAGGCGGCCGGCUAAGUCUGGUGUGAAAGCCCGGGGCUCACCCCCGGAAGUGCGCUGGAAACUGACCGGCUAGAGUAUGGGAGAGGGAAGUGGAAUUCCUGGUGUAGCGGUGAAAUGCGUAGAUAUCAGGAGGAACACCGGCGGCGAAGGCGGCUUCCUGGACCAAUACUGACGCUGAGACGCGAAAGCGUGGGGAGCAAACAGG